UAGCUACCAAGAAAUUUAAAAUUACGUAUGUGGCUCUUCACAUAUUUCUAAUGAACAACAUUGGAGACUCUUAAGGUGCAGAUAAUCUCCAUUUCAUGAUCAGCCUGUAUUCCAAAAGGACAAGCAUCGUGUUGCAGCUUGAGUUUCCAUCCCAAGGAAUGAAAUGGACGUUCUUACUCAUCAUACCAUAAGCAUCCAGGUGAAUGAUUGCUCACUUCUUUCAUCUAAUGAGGAAUUGGCUUUCUUGAGAAUCUCAAUGCAGUGUACCUCCAACCUUAACAGACUGCUGUAAAACACCCUGACCAUUCUUUAGUAUAAGCACUGAAGAAGACAGUAUGUUGACCACGAGGCACCUGGCCUGGCUCAUAGUAUGCCAUCAAGAAAUGCUAAUUUUCUAUUUCCUCUUUUUCAAAGAGUUAUUUCAAGAAAGAAAGGAGAGGAGAGGAUGUUACAAAUUCCAUGUAAAUAAAAUUUGUCACUAAUUCUGUGAACUAAUUGAUAUCAUAAUUUGAUUCUCUUACCUCUUUUUAAUCUCUCUAUUAGUCCAUUUUUAUGCUGUGAAUAAAGACAUACCUGAGACUGGGCAAUUUACAAAAGAA
rnacentral:lncRNA from 10 species